rnacentral:lncRNA from 1 species
AUUAUGUAAUUGAAACUGGUAUACAAAUUUGUACAAAUUAUAAAUUACAAAAUAAGAUUAAGAAUGAAAAGGCUAGUAAUAGGCAUGAAAUGAGAUCAUUUUGCGAGCAAUAUGGAGCUACUCCUUUGAGAGCUCCGAGUAACCCCAAGAAUAAAAAACCUGCUAGUAAAGGAAGAAAUAACUUCCAUUAUCAUAAGAAGCAAU